GGAGGGUGCAAGCGUUAAUCGGAAUCACUGGGCGUAAAGCGCACGCAGGCGGUUUGUUAAGUCAGANGUGAAANCCCCGGGCUCAACCUGGGAACNGCAUCUGAUACUGGCAAGCUUGAGUUUCGUGGAGGGGGGUAGAAUUCCAGGUGUUAGCGGUGAAANGCGUAGAGAUCUGGAGGAANACCGGUGGCGAAGGCGGCCCCCUGGACGAAAGUNGACGCUCAGGUGCGAAAGCCGUUGGGAGCAAACAGGAUUAGAUACCCUGGUAGUCCACGCCGUAAACGAUGUUGACUUGGAGGUUNGUUGCCCCUUUGAGGCCGUUGGCUUCCGGAGCUAACGCGUUAAGUGACCCGCCUGGGGAGUACGGCCGCAAGGUUAAAACUCAAAGGAAUUGACGGAAGCCCGAAU
rnacentral:rRNA from 1 species